GGUUCCAUAGUGUAGCGGUUAGCAUGUCUGCUUUCCACGCAGAAGGCCCUGGGUUGGGGUUGCACCCCAGUGGAGCCA
rnacentral:tRNA from 1 species